GACGAACGCUGGCGGCGUGCCUAAUACAUGCAAGUAGAACGCAGUUGCGAACGGGUGCGUACUGCGUAGGUAACUGCCUCAUAGCGGGGGAUAACUAUUGGAAACGAUAGCUAAUACCGCAUACUGUGAGAUGGACCUGCGUUGUAUUAGCUAGUUGGUGAGGUAAAGGCUCACCAAGGCGACGAUACAUAGCCGGUCUGAGAGGGUGGACGGCCAAAAUGGGACUGGGGAACGGCCCAGACGCCGUCGGGGAGGAACAGUAGGGGAACUUCGGCAAAGGGCCGAAGUCUUGCCGAGGCAAGGCGCGGUGGUGAAGGAGGUUUUCGGAUCGGAAAACUAUGUUUUUAGAGAAGCGGUAACUAACCAGAAAGGAACGGCUAACUACGUGCCAGCAGCCGCGGUAAUUC
rnacentral:rRNA from 1 species